ACAUGCAGUCGGACGGGAUCCGGGGGUAGCUUGCUACCUUCGGUGAGAGUGGCGCACGGGUGUGUAACGCGUGAGCAACCUACCCAUAUCAGGGGGAUAGCCCGGAGAAAUCCGGAUUAACACCGCAUGCAACCAAUGGACGGCAUCGUUCGUUGGUUAAAUAUUCAUAGGAUAUGGAUGGGCUCGCGUGACAUUAGCUAGUUGGUGGGGUAACGGCCCACCAAGGCGACGAUGUCUAGGGGCUCUGAGAGGAGAAUCCCCCACACUGGUACUGAGACACGGACCAGACUCCUACGGGAGGCAGCAGUAAGGAAUAUUGGUCAAUGGGGGCAACCCUGAACCAGCCAUGCCGCGUGCAGGACGACUGCCCUAUGGGUUGUAAACUGCUUUUGUCGGGGAAUAAACCCCACUACGUGUAGUGGGCUGAAUGUACCCGAAGAAUAAGGAUCGGCUAACUCCGUGCCAGCAGCCGCGGUAAUACGGAGGAUCCGAGCGUUAUCCGGAUUUAUUGGGUUUAAAGGGUGCGUAGGCGGCACUUUAAGUCAGGGGUGAAAGACGGCAGCUCAUCUGUCGCAGUGUCCUUGAUACUGAAGUGCUUGGAUGCCGAUGAAGACAGCAGAAUGAGAACAGUAGCGGUGAAAUGCAUAGAUAUGUCUCAGAACACCGAUUGCGGAAGCAGCUGUCUAAGCCGAUAUUGACGCUGAUGCACGAAAGUCGUGAGGAUCCAACAAGAUUAUAUACCCUGGUAGUCCGCGCCCUAAACGAUGAUAACUCGAUGUUUGCCAUAUACCGUAGCCGUCCAACGGAAACGUUUAAUAUUCC
rnacentral:rRNA from 1 species